CCUACGGGAGGCUGCAGUGAGGAAUAUUGGUCAAUGGCCGCAGGGCUGAACCAGCCAAGUCGCGUGAGGGAUGACGGUCCUAUGGAUUGUAAACCUCUUUUGUCAGGGAGCAAAGGGCGCCACGUGUGGCGCUUUGCGAGUACCUGAAGAAAAAGCAUCGGCUAACUCCGUGCCAGCAGCCGCGGUAAUACGGAGGAUGCGAGCGUUAUCCGGAUUUACUGGGUGUAAAGGGCGUGUAGGCGGGAAAGCAAGUCAGAUGUGAAAACCAUGGGCUCAACCUGUGGCCUGCAUUUGAAACUGGUUUUCUUGAGUACUGGAGAGGCAGACGGAAUUCCUAGUGUAGCGGUGAAAUGCGUAGAUAUUAGGAGGAACACCAGUGGCGAAGGCGGUCUGCUGGACAGCAACUGACGCUGAGGCGCGAAAGCGUGGGGAGCAAACAGGAUUAGAUACCCGGGUAGUC
rnacentral:rRNA from 1 species